CAAUAGCGUAUAUUAAAGUUGUUGCAGUUAAAAAGCUCGUAGUUGGAUUUCUGGUCGGAAGCUCCUGUCCUCUGAUGAGCGUACAGGUGCGUCCUACCAUCCUUCUGUUAACCUUUAAGGCUUUCGCGGCUUUCUAGGGGCUCAGAUAUUUUACCUUGAGAAAAUUAGAGUGUUUCAGGCAGGCUAGCGCCGGAAUACAUUAGCAUGGAAUAAUGGAAUAGGACUUUUGCCUCUUCUGUUGGUCAUGAGGCUCGAGUAAUGAUUAAUAGGGAUAGUUGGGGGCAUUAGUACUUAACUGUCAGAGGUGAAAUUCUCGGAUUUGUUAAAGACUAACUUAUGCGAAAGCAUUUGCCAAGGAUGUUUUCAUUA
rnacentral:rRNA from 1 species